rnacentral:rRNA from 1 species
CGCGCCAUCAGUCAUCGUGCCAGCCGCCGCGGUAAUACAGAGGUGCAAGCGUUAAUCAGAAUGACUGGGCGUAAAGGGCGUGUAGGUGGUUGACUAGGUUUGAUUGUGAAAUCCCCGGGCUUAAACCUGGGAAUGGCGUCGAAAACGGGUUGACUAGAGUGAGAGAGAGGGUUGUGGAAUUUCCGGGUGUAGCGGUGAAAUGCGUAGAUAUCGGAAGAACAUCAGUGGCGAAGGCGACAACCUGGCUCUUAACUGACACUGAGGCGCGAAGGCGUGGGGAGCAAACAGGAUUAGAUACCCUGGUAGUCCACGCGGUAAACGAUGAGAACUGGCUGUGAGGCGUGGGACUUCGGUUCUGCGCGACGUAGCGAAGCUAACGCGUUAAGUUCUCCGCCUGGGGAGUACGGCCGCAAGGUUA